AUGGAUCGUCUGUCUCGAUUUGACUCUGAGCCCAGUCAUCUAGACUUGCGUGACCGAUCACCUCUGACCCAGGUGGUUCUGAACCACAGAUCCAGCCUGGACCAGCUCAGGCAACAGGUGCGCAAGAGUGACGCCGCUGCCCGUGCCCUCGACCGUUUCCUCAUGUCCCUGCGCACAGUGGAACUCGAUGUCUCUUCUGUGCAAAGCGCCCCCAGCAAUGAUGCCAUUGUACUGCAGGACAGCAGGUCCAAGCUGGCAUUAAUCAGAAAGGGAGUCAGCAGUCUCAAGGAUAAGGCUCCACAGCUGGACCAGCUCUUGGGCGGAGCACAGCUCGAAGUGACCCAGGACGGGAGCCCUGUUUCCUGUCUGGACAUGGUGGGGGUACUGGUUCACAGGGUGGAAGAGGCAGACGAUCAGCUGAUGAUUCGACAGAAUGAGCUCCAGAAGGAACAGCAGAACCAAAGCCUCGGCCUAAGGAGGAAGACUAUCCAGGCUGAGUUAAGGAAGGUGCUGGCAGCAGCAGAAAAACAAGGUCUAAAGGAUCCCACUAUGCCAGCUGUGCAACAUCGGAUGCGAGCACUGUCCGAUGUGGAAUUGCAACUGAACUCUCUUCGCCCUGAAUACCAAAGCAUCAAGAAGGCUCUGUCUGAAGUCUCUUCACAGAAAGAGCACCCUCAUUCAGCAAAUGAAGAGCUUGACUUCCUUUGGGAAGAGACUGAAAGAGCUGUAUCUGACAGGUGGUUUCUAAACCUAAGCUGAGAUUUACUUUCAUUUAAUUCACCUAUUUUUCUUUCGUAAAGGAUUCGUUUCCCCAAAUCUGUCUGAAAUCUGUAAAUGAGGACUGAUUAAAAAUCUGUCCUCAUUUACUCACCCUCAAGUUGUUCCAAACCUGUAUUGAUUUCUUUCUUCUGCCAAAUGCAAAGGUGUUUUGAAGAAUGUGGGUAGCUAAACAGUUGCUGGACCCAACUGACUUCCAUAGUAUGGAGAGAAAAAAAACACUAUGAAAGUCAUUGGGGACCAGAAACUGUUUGGUUAUCCACAUUCAGAAGAAAAUUCAAGUGUGAAAGUGAGAAUGUUGCUCUGUGUAUUUGUGUGUUUGACAGACAAGAGCAGUGCACUGUUCUUAUGGAACUCCUGAAGAAAUUUCAGAACUGUCGCAGUAACCUGGGCAACACUCUCCAGAGGGCGGAGCAAACAAUCAAUGAACAGGCUUCAUACAUGGGCAAAGACAACUUGCAGCGACUCCUUGCAAAAGUAUGUGAACUUCAGACUAAUCACAAUACUGACUAUGUUAUAACUGCAUCAGGUUUUUUUCAUAAAAAGGUAAUUUUAUACUGGAUUUGCACCACCAGGGGUCAGUCAUUACUCAGAUAUUACAGUUCAGAUGCAGUUGCACAGUAGAGCUCAGUGUGAAGCAGUCUUAUUUGAAACUCAUCCUGUAAUUGAAUUUUGUGUCAGCACUAAUCACAUUUUGCUUUAUCU
rnacentral:lncRNA from 1 species